GAGAGGCGAUGAAGGACGUGGUAACCUGCGAUAAGCCCGAAGGAGCCGGUAACAGGCUUUGAUCUUGGGAUUUCCGAAUGGGGCAACCCACCCUGCGGGGUACUCAAUACUGAAUGCAUAGGUAUUGAGAGCGAACCUGGUGAACUGAAACAUCUAAGUAGCCAGAGGAAAAGAAAGCAAACGCGAUUCCCUUAGUAGCGGCGAGCGAACAGGGACCAACCGACAGACUCACGAACCACCUGGAAAGGUGGACCANAGAAGGUGACAGUCCUGUAAUGANGAGUCGGCCAGCCCACGAGUAGUACGGAGCCCGUGAAACUCCGUGCGAACAUGGGGGGUCCACCCCCUAAGGCUAAAUACUCCUCGACGACCGAUAGUGAACCAGUAAGGUGACUGAACGAUGAAAAGCACCCCGACAAGGGGAGUGAAAAGUACCUGAAACCAUGUGCCUACAAGCGGUGGGAGCCUUCGGGUGACCGCGUGCCUUUUGCAUAAUGAUCCUGCGAGUUGGUCUUCAUAGCUAGGUUAAGCAGUAACGCUGCGGAGCCGUAGGGAAACCGAGCCUGAAAGGGCGUUGAGUUGUGGGGACCAGACGCGAAACCUUAGUGAUCUACCCAUGGGCAGGUUGAAGGCCGGGUAACACCGGCUGGAGGACCGAACUCACUAACGUUGAAAAGUUAGGGGAUGACCUGUGGGGUGGACUAAAAGUGUAAUCAAACUGGGAGAUAGCUCGUUCUCCGCGAAAUGCCUUUAGGGGCAGCCUCGUGUUACAUCCAGCAGGGGUAGAGCACUGACUCGGGCUGGGGGGUAUUGCACCUACCCACCUGAAUCAAACUCCGAAUACUGUUGGACUCUGUCACGGGAGUGAGCCCAUGGGAGAUAAUUUCCAUGGACGAAAGGGAAACAACCCUCACCACCGGCUAAGGUCCCCAAACGGGACUCAGUUCUUAAGGUAGUCAAGAUUCAGUGACAGCCAGGAUGUUGGCUUAGAAGCAGCCACCAUUUAAAGAGUGCGUAACAGCUCACUGGUCGAGAAUUUUGGCGCCGAUAAUGAUCGGGAAUCAAGUUUCGUACCGAAGCCGUGGACGAAAGUGGUAGCGGAGCGUUGCUGUCAGCGCUGAAGGCGUCUCGUGAGGGACGUUGGAGCGGCAGCAAGUGAAUAUGCAGGAUUGAGUAACGAUAAACGGAGUGAGAAUCUCCGUCGCCGAAAGCCUAAGGUUUCCUGGGGAAGGGAAAUCCGCCCAGGGUAAGGCGGGACCUAAGACGAGCCCGACAGGGGUAGUCGAUGGACAGCCGGCUAAUAUUCCGGCCCUCACGGUGAGAUCAAAGCGAAGUGCGGAUUCGAAAGCUACACGGGACAGUGAAGCGUCCGGCAGUGGGUGGAAGAGUUCCAAGAAAAGCUUCGUGGGCAAUCCGUGACCCGUACUAAAACUGACACAGGUAGGCGUGGUGAAUAACCUCAGGCGCUCGAGAGAAUGGUUGUGAAGGAACUAGGCAAAUUGACCCCGUACGUUCGCAAUAAGGGGGCCCUACCGGAAACGGAGGGCGCAGAGAAAAGGCGCUGACGACUGUUUAUCAAAAACACAGCACUGUGCAAACUCGAAAGAGGACGUAUACAGUGUGACGCCUGCUCGGUGCCAGAAUGUCAAGGAAGUAGGUUAGCUCCGGCGAAGCUUACAACCGAAGCACUGGUAAACAGCGGCCGUAACUAUGACGGUCCUAAGGUAGCGAAAUUCCUUGUCGGGUAAGUUCCGACGCGCAUGAAUGGCGUAACGAUUGGCGCACUGUCUCCACAACCAACUCGGUGAAAUAGUAGUGGCGGUGAAGAUGCCGCCUUACCGUGGCAAGACGGAAAGACCCCGUGGACCUUUACUGUAGGCUUGUAUUGAUCACGAUUCUGUGAUGCGUAGGAUAGGUGGGAGGCUUUGAAGCCGGGAUUUCGGUCCUGGUGGAGCCGUUGGUGAAAUACCACUCUUUGCUUUGUCGUGAUCUAACCCUGACUCCCAUGAAGCUGGGCAGGGAACCGUGCAUGCCGGGCAGUUUGACUGGGGCGGUCUCCUCCUAAAGUG
rnacentral:rRNA from 1 species